UAGAAACAAAGUGGGCGUGUUUUCUGAGGCAGGGCUCGGGACAGGCUCCUCCCUCUGGCGGCUUACUCGGAACCAGAAAGAGUAACAGAAACAUCCGUUGGGACCUGGCAGAUGGGCAGGAAGAAGAAUCACCUAGAAGGGAUGUGAUCUUGGACCGUAGGAAUUCCACAGCCCACCUUCACUCAAAACUGAAAGGUGGCUUAUGAGAAAGAAGCUUCGCGACUGUGGAGCGCCGUCAACCCCGCCUCUUCCUCCUCCGGGUUACGGCCUUUUUUACGACAAUGCCGCGUCGCAGUCUUGGUUUCCGGCAGCGACUGCUGAGCCCGAGCUAUAUCUGACAGGGUGUUCGCUCAUGUCCUGCAGAAGUUUAAAGUUUCUAGUGCCCCUACGGUAAUGAGCUUCUUUGACCUUUUCCGGGGCUUUUUCGGCUUUCGUGGACCUCGGAGCCACAGAGAUCCCUUUUUUGGCGGGAUGACUCGAGAUGAUGACGAUGAUGAUGACGAAGAGGAGGAAGACAGAAGCACGUGGGGUCGAGGGAGCUAUAGGUUUGAUGGUUCUCAGCCUCCGGAGGAAUUCGGUUUCAGCUUCAGCCCAGGAGGAGGGAUGCGAUUCCACGACAACUUUGGCUUUGAUGAUCUAGUACGAGAUUUCAAUAGCAUCUUCAGUGAGAUGGGGGCCUGGACCUUGCCUUCCCACUCUCCUGAACUUCCAGGUCCUGACUCAGAAACACCUAGUGAGAGACUGCGGGAAGGGCAGACUCUGCGGGACUCAAUGCUUAAAUACCCUGAUAGUCACCAGCCCAGGAUCUUUGAGGGGGUCUUGGAGAGUCCUGCAAGACCUGAAUCCCCCAAGUCAGCUCCAGAUUGGGGGUCUCAGAGACCUUUUCAUUGGUUGGAUGAUAUAUGGCCUGUGACCCCCCGUUCUAGAGCCAGAGAGGACAACGGUUUCCCAGGAGGGUCUCGGUCCACUUCUCCAACCCCAACCCAAACCCUAUUUCAAGAGCAUCUCUGUGACCAAGAUCACCAAGCCAGAUGGGGCCGUGGAGGAGCGCCGUACUGUGGUGGACAGUGAGGGACGGAACGAGACCACAGUGACCCACCACGAAGCACGUGACAGUUCCAGCAGUGAUCCAGUCUCUGAAAGAUCUUCAGCUCUGGAUGAUCCCUUUUCCAUCCUGGAUUUGCUCCUUGGACGUUGGUUUCGAUCCCGGUAGCUUUGUUAAUAACCUUCAGAAGUCUUCAGGUCCUUUCCACUCCCUUCAAAUUGCCCAUUGCCAAUAAGCUUAGCUUUGUGUGUCAUCCUAAGGGUUGUAAGUGUGUGAAACAAUGCAUUGAGCUUAUGCCAGUCUGUCAUUCAUCCAAAUUAACCAAUAAAGCCUUUAUUUAUGCUAAA